rnacentral:tRNA from 2 species
GGCCCCAUCGUCUAACGGUUAGGACAGCGGGUUUUCAAUCCGCUAACGGGAGUUCGAUUCUCCCUGGGGCUGCCA